ACCAAACGAAGUCCUGAAGGAGCUGGAGGAGCUGGGGAGGCUGCGAGCGGAGGCCAAGCGGGAGCGAGAAGGAGGAGGAGGAGGAGGAGGAAGGAAGGGGGGAGGUGGGGGGAGCGGGGAGGGUGAUCUCCAUGGGGAAGGUGACCCCAAUGGGGAAGGUGACCCCAAUGGGGAAGGUGACCCCAAUGGGGAAGGUGACCCCGAUAGGGAAAGGGUUCUCCAUGGGGAAGAAGAUCCCGAUGGGCGAGGAGGUCCCCAUGGGCAAGAUGAUCCCCAUGGGGAAGAAGAUCGCCAUGGGGGGGGAGGUCCCCAUGGGCAAGGAGAUCCCAAUGGGCAAGAUGAUCCCAAUGGGUCAGGAGAUCCCCAUGGGUCAGAAGAUCCCAAUGGGUCAGGAGAUCCCCGUAGGCAACGGGUUCCUCAUGGACAACGAGAUCCCCAUGGACAAUGAGAUCCCAACGGCCAACGAGGUCCCCAUGGCCAACGAGAUCUCCGUGCGCGGGGAUGUCCCCGGGCGCGGCAGGACGCCGACGCGCGGCGGUGUCCCCAUGCGUGGUGACACCUCCAUGCGUGGUGGCACCUCCGUGCGUGGCGGGAUGCUGAUGCGUGGUGACGUCAUCUCCAUGCGUGACGAUGUCCCCAACCGUGGUGAUGGUGUCAACCGUGAUGACGUCCCCUUCCACGCCAACGUCCCCAACCGUGCCAAUGUCCCCAACCGUGGUGACAUCUUCACCCGUGGUGACAUCCCCAACCGUGACGACCUCUUCAACCGCGCCAACGCGCCCAACGGCGAAGACGCCGCCAACGGCGCCGCCGUCCCCCCGCUGGCCCGGGAGCUGGCGGAGGCGGUUCGGCCGGGGGUUGGAGAUGAAGGUGAGGAUGAUGAUGGUGAGGAUGAUGAGGAUGAGGAGGCGGCGCCGUUGGACCCCGGCACCAUCGACCAGCUGAUCGAGCUGUCCAGCCGCCUCCACCUGCCGGCCGACGACGUGGUCGACAUCAUCCGCGACGUGGAGCAGAAGCGCAAGGAGGAGGCGGCGGCCGCCAUGGCGGUGGCGGCGGGGGGGGCGGCCCC
rnacentral:lncRNA from 1 species